rnacentral:lncRNA from 1 species
GUUUGGAGGCGGCGCGAGGUCCGGGAGGCGGCUCUAGGGUGGAGAUCCGAGAACAGCAUAUCUCCAGCCGCCGCCGCUCUCUAUCCCGCCCUUGGUUGCCGCCGGUCUCCAUCCCACUUCAGCCGCCGCCAGUCUCCAUCCCGUCCUCAGCCGCCGGCGGUCUCCAUCCCGCUUCAGCCGCCGACGGUCUCCAUCCCGCUUCAGCCGCCGCCGCUCUCCUUCCCGCUCUCCAUCCCGCCCAGUCGCCGGCGCUCGCCAUCUCUCCUUCCUCGCUUCGGAUUCACCAGUUGCGGGAGAGGGCGAGGUCGAGGGCAACAGCCCGGACACCAAGAAGCAGGAGAGGCACAGGCGUGUGGGGUUGGCAAAAGUAAAGCUGAAGGAGUUGAUAUUACCCAAGGUAUUUGAGAAAAAACUAAAUACAGUUGUACUUACAUUUGCCUAAUAUGAAGCAUUUAAUCUUGCCCCUGCAUAUUUAUACUAG